UGCGUAGGCGGGCUAAUAAGUCAGUGGUGAAAUCUUCCGGCUCAACCGGGAAACUGCCAUUGAUACUGUUAGCCUUGAGUUAGGUUGAGGUAGGCGGAAUGUGUAAUGUAGCGGUGAAAUGCUUAGAUAUUACACAGAACACCAAUUGCGUAGGCAGCUUACUGGACCUACACUGACGCUGAGGCACGAAAGCGUGGGGAGUGAACAGGAUUAGAUACCCUGGUAGUCC
rnacentral:rRNA from 1 species